CUACGGGUCGCAGCAGUGGGGAAUAUUGCACAAUGGGCGCAAGCCUGAUGCAGCCAUGCCGCGUGUAUGAAGAAGGCCUUCGGGUUGUAAAGUACUUUCAGCGGGGAGGAAGGGAGUAAAGUUAAUACCUUUGCUCAUUGACGUUACCCGCAGAAGAAGCACCGGCUAACUCCGUGCCAGCAGCCGCGGUAAUACGGAGGGUGCAAGCGUUAAUCGGAAUUACUGGGCGUAAAGCGCACGCAGGCGGUUUGUUAAGUCAGAUGUGAAAUCCCCGGGCUCAACCUGGGAACUGCAUCUGAUACUGGCAAGCUUGAGUCUCGUAGAGGGGGGUAGAAUUCCAGGUGUAGCGGUGAAAUGCGUAGAGAUCUGGAGGAAUACCGGUGGCGAAGGCGGCCCCCUGGACGAAGACUGACGCCCAGGUGCGAAAGCGUGGGGAGCAAACAGGAUUAGAUACCCCGUAGUC
rnacentral:rRNA from 1 species